GACGAACGCUGGCGGCGUGCCUAAUACAUGCAAGUCGAGCGAAGUUUUUCUGGUUCUUGCACUAGAAAAACUUAGCGGCGAACGGGUGAGUAACACGUAGAGAACCUGCCUCAUAGACUGGGACAACUAUUGGAAACGAAAGCUAAUACCGGAUAACAGUAUUUCUCGCAUGAGAGAUAUUUAAAAGUUGGUUAUGCUAACACUAUGAGAUGGCUUUGCGGUGCAUUAGCUAGUUGGUGGGGUAAAGGCCCACCAAGGCGACGAUGCAUAGCCGACCUGAGAGGGUGAUCGGCCACACUGGGACUGAGACACGGCCCAGACUACUACGGGAGGCAGCAGUAGGGAAUCUUCCGCAAUGGGCGAAAGCCUGACGGAGCAACGCCGCGUGAGUGAAGAAGGAUUUCGGUUCGUAAAGCUCUGUUGUUAGGGAAGAAUGGAUAUGUAGUAACUAUACAUGUAAGAGACGGUACCUAACCAGAAAGCCACGGCUAACUACGUG
rnacentral:rRNA from 1 species